UGUUCAAAGAUUUCUGAAUGGAGCUCAUGGG
rnacentral:piRNA from 1 species